rnacentral:rRNA from 1 species
UACGAAGGGGGCUAGCGUUGCUCGGAAUCACUGGGCGUAAAGGGUGCGUAGGCGGGUCUUUAAGUCAGGGGUGAAAUCCUGGAGCUCAACUCCAGAACUGCCUUUGAUACUGAGGAUCUUGAGUUCGGGAGAGGUGAGUGGAACUGCGAGUGUAGAGGUGAAAUUCGUAGAUAUUCGCAAGAACACCAGUGGCGAAGGCGGCUUACUGGUCCGGUUCUGACGCUGAGGCGCGAAAGCGUGGGGAGCAAACAGG